rnacentral:rRNA from 1 species
AUUGAACGCUGGCGGCAGGCUUAACACAUGCAAGUCGAGCGGAGAUGAGGUGCUUGCACCUUAUCUUAGCGGCGGACGGGUGAGUAAUGCUUAGGAAUCUGCCAUUUAGUGGGGGACAACAUUCCGAAAGGAAUGCUAAUACCGCAUACGUCCUACGGGAGAAAGCAGGGGAUCUUCGGACCUUGCGCUAGUAGAUGAGCCUAAGUCGGAUUAGCUAGUUGGUGGGGUAAAGGCCUACCAAGGCGACGAUCUGUAGCGGGUCUGAGAGGAUGAUCCGCCACACUGGGACUGAGACACGGCCCAGACUCCUACGGGAGGCAGCAGUGGGGAAUAUUGGACAAUGGGCGGAAGCCUGAUCCAGCCAUGCCGCGUGUGUGAAGAAGGCCUUUUGGUUGUAAAGCACUUUAAGCGAGGAGGAGGCUACCUGGAUUAAUACUCUGGGAUAGUGGACGUUACUCGCAGAAUAAGCACCGGCUAACUCUGUGCCAGCAGCCGCGGUAAUACAGAGGGUGCGAGCGUUAAUCGGACUUACUGGGCGUAAAGCGUGCGUAGGCGGCUGAUUAAGUCGGAUGUGAAAUCCCUGAGCUUAACUUAGGAAUUGCAUUCGAUACUGGUCAGCUAGAGUAUGGGAGAGGAUGGUAGAAUUCCAGGUGUAGCGGUGAAAUGCGUAGAGAUCUGGAGGAAUACCGAUGGCGAAGGCAGCCAUCUGGCCUAAUACUGACGCUGAGGUACGAAAGCAUGGGGAGCAAACAGGAUUAGAUACCCUGGUAGUCCAUGCCGUAAACGAUGUCUACUAGCCGUUGGGGCCUUUGAGGCUUUAGUGGCGCAGCUAACGCGAUAAGUAGACCGCCUGGGGAGUACGGUCGCAAGACUAAAACUCAAAUGAAUUGACGGGGGCCCGCACAAGCGGUGGAGCAUGUGGUUUAAUUCGAUGCAACGCGAAGAACCUUACCUGGCCUUGACAUACUAGAAACUUUCCAGAGAUGGAUUGGUGCCUUCGGGAAUCUAGAUACAGGUGCUGCAUGGCUGUCGUCAGCUCGUGUCGUGAGGUGUUGGGUUAAGUCCCGCAACGAGCGCAACCCUUUUCCUUACUUGCCAGCAUUUCGGAUGGGAACUUUAAGGAUACUGCCAGUGACAAACUGGAGGAAGGCGGGGACGACGUCAAGUCAUCAUGGCCCUUACGGCCAGGGCUACACACGUGCUACAAUGGUCGGUACAAAGGGUUGCUACCUAGCGAUAGGAUGCUAAUCUCAAAAAGCCGAUCGUAGUCCGGAUUGGAGUCUGCAACUCGACUCCAUGAAGUCGGAAUCGCUAGUAAUCGCGGAUCAGAAUGCCGCGGUGAAUACGUUCCCGGGCCU